GAGGAUAUAGCUCAGUAGUAAGAGUGUUUGCCUAGCAUGUGAGAGGCCCUGGGUUCUAUGCCCAGUGCCCUUC
rnacentral:tRNA from 1 species